GGUAUAGCGUAGUUGGUUAACGCGUCAGAUUGUGGUUCUGAAGAUCGUCGGUUCGAAUCCGACUAC
rnacentral:tRNA from 1 species